rnacentral:rRNA from 1 species
GACGAACGCUGGCGGCGUGCUUAACACAUGCAAGUCGAACGGAAAGGCCCUGCUUUUGUGGGGUGCUCGAGUGGCGAACGGGUGAGUAACACGUGAGUAACCUGCCCUUGACUUUGGGAUAACUUCAGGAAACUGGGGCUAAUACCGGAUAGGAGCUCCUGCUGCAUGGUGGGGGUUGGAAAGUUUCGGCGGGUGGGGAUGGACUCGCGGCUUAUCAGCUUGUUGGUGGGGUAGUGGCUUACCAAGGCUUUGACGGGUAGCCGGCCUGAGAGGGUGACCGGCCACCUUGGGACUGAGAUACGGCCCAGACUCCUACGGGAGGCAGCAGUGGGGAAUAUUGCCCAAUGGGCGGAAGCCUGAUGCAGCAACGCCGCGUGCGGGAUGACGGCCUUCGGGUUGUAAACCGCUUUCGCCUGUGACGAAGCGUGAGUGACGGUAAUGGGUAAAGAAGCACCGGCUAACUACGUG